rnacentral:rRNA from 1 species
AGAGCGAACGCUGGCGGCAGGCCUAACACAUGCAAGUCGAGCGCCCCGCAAGGGGAGCGGCAGACGGGAGAGUAACACGUGGGAACGUACCCUUUGGUUCGGAACAACACAGGGAAACUUGUGCUAAUACCGGAUAAGCCCUUACGGGGAAGAUUUAUUGCCAAAGGAUCGGCCCGCGUCUGAUUAGCUUGUUGGUGAGGUAACGGCUCACCAAGGCUACGAUCAGUAGCUGGUCUGAGAGGAUGAUCAGCCUCACUGGGACUGAGACACGGCCCAGACUCCUACGGGAGGCAGCAGUGGGGAAUAUUGGACAAUGGGCGCAAGCCUGAUCCAGCCAUGCCGCGUGGGUGAUGAAGGCCCUAGGGUUGUAAAGCCCUUUGGCGGGGAAGAUAAUGACGGUACCCGCAGAAGAAGCCCCGGCUAACUUCGUGCCAGCAGCCGC